rnacentral:rRNA from 1 species
UACGUAGGGUCCGAGCGUUGUCCGGAAUUAUUGGGCGUAAAGGGCUCGUAGGCGGUUCGUCACGUCGGGAGUGAAAACUUGGGGCUACAACCCCAAGCUUGCGGUCGAUACGGGCAGGCUGGAGUUCGGUGAGGGGAGACUGGAAGUUCCUGGUGUAGCGGUGAAAUUGCGCAGAUAUCAGGAAGAACACCCGUGGCGAAGGCGGUCUCUGGGACGGUACUGACGCUGAGACGCGAAAGCGU